GGUUCCCACGUGCCUCCCAACUACCCCACCUAACCCAUCCUCCCCCACCACAUAUCUCACAAUUCCCUCUUUUCUCUCUUUGGCCGGUCACUUUCAUUCUUGUUCUCCUUUUCUUUUUCAUUUUCAGUCAACACAACACACAUACACACACUCCUCUCCCUCACCCUCCCACCGGUACAUUCCUCAUCAUCACCUUUACCAUUUUUUCCGGCAAAAUCACUGGAAAACCCUCAAGAACAUCACACCUUCACAUAAGUUAUUUGAGUCUUACAGAUUAAUUAGCUAUAUCAUGGGAAUGGAGCUUGCCUUGUCAGUAGUGAUUGGAAUUUUAUGCUGAAUUGGGAGACAUACAUUACUAAUGGUUGGUGAUUCGAUCUAGUUGUUUUUAAGGGAGCUAGUAGUAGUUAAUUUAUUAGAAGUUGGGCUCUUGAGGUUUGUUAGCCCAAGAAUUUUGUUGGGAUUGCAUAUUUUAGAGAACAUUGGGACUUUCUAUUUAAAUCAUUUGGAGUUUUGUAAUAUAUUUAUGUAUCAUGUGGAGACACAAAAUUUUUAGUUAUUGUUUGUAAAUAUGUUAUAGAGCUCUGACUUGUAAUAUGGAGAUUUUAGUGUGAUUAUAUAUUCUUAUCAUGUGGAAAAGGAAGGAGCUUAAAGAGAGAUCUCUUACA